CGAAUCCGCACACACACUCCACAUUCUUCACCGAUUCCCCAAACACACCGCUGCUGCGCCGCUCACCUCUAACCCAACCACGCCGGCGGUGGCCCCCCUCCUCCCCCAAGCACCGGCGGCCUCCUCUUCCUCCAGCGCCGAACUCCAACCUUCUCCUUCUCUCCCAAGCGAAGGGAAAGAGGGAAGGCCCCAGAUCGGGCGAGACCAGAUCCACGGCGGCAUCGGCGCGCCAUCGUCGACCUGGGUUGCGACCACCAUGGUCGCCAUCAUCGUCUCCUCCAUGGAGGUCCUACCCGCCAGGAUCAAGCCGCGGCUUGAGUCUGCCAUGGGGAAUCCGCCCCGAUUGCAGCGUGUAGGCAGACACUUUAGGAAGAGGAAGAGGGAGGAGGGAGGGGACGGGGGAGGGCAGCGCCCGUAGCCGCGUGUGUGUGGCCGUGGCCCCGGAGCGGCAGAGGAGGGGUAGGGUGAUGCUCGCCGUGGCGGCCUCGACGGGCAACUACGUGGUGCCACCUUCCUCUAAGACCGGUCGCCUCAUGCUGCGGCUACUGGCAGUGGCGAAGCGAGUCUCCCACCUCACCACCACCGCUGCUUGCCAUCCGUCCCUCCUUCCAUCCAUGGCGGCGUCGACCUCCGGCGUCAGCAGGUUCAGCGCGGCGGCGGGCAACAACAAUGGCAGCGUCGGUCUCCAAGACCCCAUCCCGGCCUCUGUUGGAAUAUUUUCGGGCAUUGUCUCAUCAAUUUUACCGAACUCCUGAACACCAUAGAUUUGUGCGGCAACAGGUGGUCAAUCAGCACAGCUGUAUGUACAAGGAGCAGAGCGCAUCGGUUCAUGCUCGAGCCCCGAAGAAGGUAGCAAUGUUUGGGUUUUCCUCAAGGAUGUCAGACACUAUUUACAGUAUGUUAAAUGCAGACAAUGCUCUUGAUUUAUGAGAAUUAUUUAUUUACCUAGUGGAUCCCCAAUUAUAUAUCUGUCCCUAUCAAUGCAAAUGCUGAGCCAUGUUCCACUUUUACUGCUUUCCACAUCGACCGGGGCCUGCUUGAGCUGAGGGCUAGGGUGAGGGACGUGACGACGUCACAACUCAAGGCGACGGCUGCCAUCGGUCAAGUGUGGCUAGUCGAGGCUGCCCGUUGUGUUUCGUCGCAGUUGCAGGCCGCGAGAUCAAGCCGGGAAGGCUCCACGCAUUGACGAGUGAGCCAAUUUUUGGAUUGGACCAUAACAACUUGUCUCAGUCUCUGACGUCUAGAAGUAGUGGUAAAGUUUUGAAUUUGCAUGGCAAGAACCACUUACGUAGGUAGCUGACACACACAACAUUGUGUUUACACUCUUAUACUUAUGUAAAAGAUAUGAAUUAUAUAUGAGUUGCCUCUACAAUGAGGAACUGUGAUAGUAGAUACGGC
rnacentral:rRNA from 1 species